UCACAAUGAUUCAAACUAUAAUAAAUGAAACCGUGAUUCAUGCAUACGAAACCAUAAAAUAAACACAUUAGGCACCAUACUGCAUUCAAAACUAUAAAAUAAAUCAAACAACACCUGACCAAAAAAUACAUUAGAUUCGGGCUCCAUUAGCAACUUUAAUUAAUUAUACAUAUCUAUUAAUUCAUAACAUACAAUUUUAUCAUUUAUUAAACUUUAAUGCUAU
rnacentral:lncRNA from 1 species